AAAGGGAGACCUGAUUCCGGUAGGAGACGAAAAAAAAGUAGUCCCAACCAAGAAUCAAUCCCAAAAGGUCGGAGCGAGGCGAAAUUGGCUUUCAAACUAGGUUCUGGGUUCACACAAGACCUGAAUCAGGAACAAGGGCUAUUAGCUCAGGUGGUUAGAGCGCACCCCUGAUAAGGGUGAGGUCCCUGGUUCGAGUCCAGGAUGGCCCACCUGCACAGGUGGCAAAGACAAAGAAAAAAAGCUCCGAAUCAGCACCUUAUCUUACUUAUACAGUAAGAGAGAAUGCUGGCUCUGAGUUCAGAGUCCAGAGGAACCUUGAAAACUGCAUAGAGCUAGAUGAAAAAGCCAAAAAAGAAGACCGCAAG
rnacentral:tRNA from 1 species